GUCGGAGUCCCGUCCCUUGGUGUUCUGUCCCCUCUGAGUUCCAUCCCCCUGUGACGCUCUUUUCCUGCUUAUCCUCGUCAGUACUGACGCACUUGUCAGAUGCCGGCACUGAAGUUCCUGUUGCCUGAACAGGAGGAGGAAAGAGGAGGAAGAUGAGAAAGAAGGAGCAGGAGGAGGAAGAGAAGGAGGAAGAGGAGCAGGAGGAGGAAGAAGAAGCAGGAGGAGGAGCGGGAGCACUGGUGGAGGCCCGGAGCUGCAACACGUCCUGUGGCCUGGCGCCCCCAGCAGCUGCCGAGCUCGCCCACCCAUCUGUCCGGCUGCGUGUGUCCACUUACGUAGACACCUGUG
rnacentral:lncRNA from 1 species